rnacentral:lncRNA from 1 species
AGUUUCACUCUUGUUGCCUAGGCUGGAGUACAAUGGUGUGAUCUCGGCUCACUGAAACCUCUGCCUCCUGGGUUCAUUCAAGUGAUUCUCCUGCCUCAGCCUCCUGAGUAGCUGGGAUUACAGGCAUGCGCCACCAUGCCCGGCUAAUUUUGUAUUUUUAGUAGAGAUGGGGUUUCUUUACGUUGGUGAGGCUAGUCUCGAACUCCUGACCUCAGGUGAUCCACCUGCCUCGGCCUCCCAAAGUGCUGGGAUUACAGGCAUGGGCCACUGCGCCUGGCCUGUAUCUCCAAUUCUUUAUAUAUGCCUGACGAACUGCUAUUCCAUCUUGUAGGGCUAAAAUCAAAUGUUUUUUUCAUUUUUUGGAAGCCUCCUCUAUAUACCUCCACCUUCUAACUCCAAGAAGUCAAAAUGAAGUCUCACCAUAUUGAUCAGACUGGUCUUGAAGUCCUGGCUUCAAAUGAUCUUCCCUCCUCAGCCUCCCAAAGUGCUGGGAUUAUAGAUCUUGCAGACAACAGAUCAUGGAACUUCUUGGCCUCCAUAAUCUCAUGAGCCAAUUUCUAUAUUCCAUAGGGGAAAAAAGGAGAGCUGAGAAUGCACAGAAAUUUUCAUGUGCCAAGUUUGGAAGUGCAAAAAGACCCUUAGGUGUGGGCCCUCUAUCUUGGACUUCCCAACCUCCAUAACAAUGGUGUCGGAAGCAGGAUCCAAAGAAGAGCUUCUAGUGACCUCCAGGAGCGCUGAGUGAACACUCGAGGUACCAGCAGGACCCACUUGUGUCCAUGGAUCUCUCAGAGCGGCUCCGGAUGGUAAAAAGCAAUUUGAAGGGGUGUUCUAUACUUUGGCAUAGGAAACCCAUUCCCUCUCAAGGAGAAGCAGUGGACACAAUCUCAGAAGUUGAGAGCCAUUUGAGAAUCAGUUGAGAAGUCUGAGAACCAGAUAUGUGGGGCUUUGGUAUCAGGAUGAUUCUGGCCUCAUAAAAUGAGUUAAGGAGGAUUCCCUCCUCCUUGUACCUCUGGUACAAUUCGGCUGUGAAUCCAUCUGGUCCUGGACUUUUUUUGGUUGGGGAUCCUGAAACCAAUCCUCCAUGGAUACCCGGGAACAAUUGUAUCUGGCUAGAUUCUGGGAAGUGAACUUAUGGAAUCAAAGGUUAUGCAAACGUUUUUGAGACUCACACUGGUUCUCCUUGCUCCUGAAACUUGCAGACAGCCUAUUGUGGGACCUUGUGAUCAUACUUGAAACACUUGUAACUUGUACGUCAGCUCAAACAGAGUGUGCAUUGUCCACUGCAAAUACUAGUGCAAAUUAAGACGAAGAGAAAAAAGAAGGUCCAUGAGCUCCCAAUGACAUCUAGGACUGCUGCUAUCUCAUAGCACAUACUCCUCCCACAAGGACUACAAAUGACAAGGGAAAAUUUGUAUAAUUGGAAUUCUGGACAUUUCUCAAAUGCUCAUUGACUCAAAUACUUUCUGCUAUAUUUGGAAUUUUCAAACAAAGACAUGAUAGCAACCAGACCAGAAAAAUGUAAUUGACCAGAAAUGUCCUACAGUAUUUACAAUAUACUCAUUUUUCUGCGUGUUUAAUUUUAAAAGUUGGGUAUUCUGUACUGGACUCUAAUGGGAUUUGACUAAUAAUCCUCACAAAAAUGAUGCCAGGAUGUUCUUUAGCUUUUGAUAGACUUUAAAAUACACAGGCAGCAUAAUCUUGAGCAAGAAAAGAGCUGACUUUCUGUACAGGAGAAAUAAAGCAUAGUGUAGCACUUGACAACC